AGCCCGGGCUCCCGUGUAGUCCCGCCUGAUGAUGAAAUCCUCUAGGGAGGCCGGUGCCGGAGUCUUCCUUGCCUGCCUUCCAACGCCGAGUCCACUGCCAGGACCUCCGCUGGCAUUUCUCGAGCUCGCCGAGUCGGUUUUUCCGCGCGAAAGUAUCUGGACAGGGACAUAAGUAUCUUCGGAGUAUCUGAUAACAUUUUCCAGGCACAUUUCUUACCAUUUUUUCGCACAGCCGUUCGUUUUCUCGGGAUUUGCGCUCCUUACUGCCCAGCUGGCUCCUCGGUGUUUGGGUCUUGUGUGUUUUGCGUUUUUCUGUUUUCGUCGGCAACGCUUGGUUACGGUCGCUUGGCAACCUACAUAGCGUCGAUAAAGCAGUUCGACCACGCCUCACUGCGCCCAGAAAGCGCCCCUUCUGGAUACUUGUGCGCAAUCCUAUCCGUAUCCUUGCCCUCAACUGCAGCUGGGAACCAACUGUUGAUACGUCGGAACAGCCACCCUUAAUUCUUGGGAUAUCGUCUUCUCAUUUUCCGAUGAUGUCAGCAGGACUUCAUACCCCUUAAAUAUUUUUUCUUUGGGGUAUAAUUGAAUGUGGUUUUCAUGAAACAGUUUAAAUAAUAUAAUCUAUUAAUAAUAUCAGUUC
ensembl:ncRNA asRNA:CR45206 antisense RNA:CR45206